rnacentral:lncRNA from 1 species
UUAACAGGGACAGGGUAGUAAAAGGGAACUUGCAUGGUUUACUUUAUAAACUUAGCUAUGAUUUGAAACUGAAUCUGUUCAAGGAUUACAUGUUUGAAAAAAACAAAACAUAGAUGGUUUGAGAAAGCUGUGUGGAUGGGGACAGACUGUGCUCAUUUGGCCGAGGUGGGGAGGACACUGCUCUUCCUCAGUGAGUCCUUUGGGUCCCCCUCGAGGGGUCAUCCUGAGGUCAGGAAGGGGUACUAGGGUGACCUUCUCUGACACAGUCCUCACAGGGCAGGGAUGGACUGCACCCCUGAGCCCCAGCUUUUCCCAGUGGCCGCCAAGGUUUUCUUCUCCCACGAUUUCUCCACACCCUGCUGCUCCAGUUUGAACCUCUGGGAAGAGCAAGGUCACUUCUUUGGGGGGUGUGGGUCAGUCAGUCAUGGCUUAGCACUUUGUCUGCCUCCUUCAGUCCAGGGGAGUUGCUUGUCCUAGCGACCAAGAUAUGGGGUUUGUGGCCACAUUCAGUCAUUUUCAGCCUCCACCUUUCCCCACAGAAGGAUUUCCAUGUCUGAGGGUGGCGUUCCCUGCUUCCCAGGCCUGGGCCCCCUUUGGAGAUCAGGUGUGGCCCCCUGUGCACUCUUGACCAACACGCAGUCACCACACCCAGCCCACUCUUGGCACCUCCGGGGCACCCUCUUCUCAGUCUCUCUUGUUGCCAGGUCCUGGCCUAUUUCACUUUCUGCCUGUGGAUAAUUCCGUUUGCGUUUUUUGUGUCACUUUCGGCCGGGGAGAACGUCCUGCCCUCUACCAUGCAGCCAGGAGAUGAUGUCGUCUCCAAUUAUUUCACCAAAGGCAAGCGGGGCAAACGCUUAGGGAUCCUGGUUGUCUUCUCCUUCAUCAAAGAGGCCAUUCUACCCAGUCGUCAGAAGAUAUACUGACCCCCAUGCAGGCAGGAUGUGGGGGGCAAGAUCAGGAGAGUCAGGCCCCUGGGCCUCUAUGCCAGGUGGGGACCAGAAGUCGGGAAGGCACCUACCACCUGCCCUGGCUUUCUUCCCCUCAACUCUGGAGCCCCAUCCCCACCCUCCUUGGGGGGCUCAGCUUGGCUCAGAUCUGAUGCUUCAAGAGGCUGUAACCUCAGAGGGCACCAAGGAGGGUGGCAGAGCCUGCUUAGCCAGGAGGCCGAGGUCCCUCAGUCCUCCCCUGUCCCUUCCAAGGUGGGUCAGGAGGUUCUGGCCCCGCUGGGGCAGGCAGGGCAGGGUCUGUGAAGCUUAAGAGCAGAUGGUGACAAGUUCUCUGGGCAGGUGGCCAUGGGGAGGGGCCAUGGCUUGGCAUGUCCAACAGAAAUAGUUUUUGCUGUUGAACGGUGAUUUCUGUCCAAGUGCAGAUUUCCGUUUGAAUAAAGCUUCGCUUCUAGGUGGCACUGUUUGCCUUAAUACCCUGACAGUUCAUCUUCCUUUCUUCCUGCUAACCUUCUGCUCUGGACUGGACUCACUUUUCUGCUCCAGGGACUCCUUUUCUGGGUUUGGGUCUUGCCCUUCCCAAGGGACUGUUCUUGUGGCCCUUAAUGGGAAGGGGGCAGGGGUGAGGAGCUGAGCCUGCUCAAGGAGUGGGAAGUGGGGCUAUAGGCAGCCUCUCUGAUGCACUCUCUUCCAUCUCUUUCCCCAAGGCUCCGUGACUGUCAAACUGGGAGUAGGAGAGGGGACAAUUUAGGACUGGGCUAGAUUUUCAGAAGAACAUCUACAAUAUCCUAUUUAUAAAUCUUCCUCUGGGAAAAGGAGUGGUUUCUGGCUGAAUACUAUCUUAGGCUCAAGGAGAAACAAAAUAAAAAUUAGCUUCCAGGCAGCCUGUUUUUAAAGAAAUGGGACUAAUGGGAGAAGCUGUUUGUCACUCUAAGAGCAUCCAAGCCCUGGCCCGUCUGUGCACUCUUGGCUCCUGGGGAGAUAUAUCUGCCUUCUAAGAAGGCAGGCCAGGUCUUGGGCACAGACCUGCAUUUGUUGACCUUGCACUCCAACUAUAGUGCCUUGCAAGUGCUCAACAGUACAUAUUGGAAUGAAGUCCCUAUGAGAGCCAUUUCUGGCCAUGUUCUAUACCUCAAAGUGAGGCUGGCAGGUACAGAGAUGAACUGUACACAUGUGAUACAUUUAAGCCACUGGAAAAACCCCUGUGCUUGAAAAUAUUUCCUCUAUAUCAUGCCUGGAGUUCCAUCAUAGCCCUUCAUUUCCUUGGCUUUAGCAUUUACCUUCUCUUAAGAAUACCAGCUUUCCCCUUUCCCUGAGAGGAAGAGCACAUGUUGGUCUCCUCUUAGUGUGAACGAGAUUGCCAGGCCCUUUUCUCCUAUGCACACCAGGAUAGACAAGGCAGGGGAUACUGGCAGCCUGCAUCAUCCUCCCAUUGGGCUGACAGCUGGCCCUACUUUCCUCCCUCUGCUGCUUGGUCCCUCACCUUGAUGAUGUGGCUUCGCCCCCUCCACUCUACUGCCAGUGUUCUCCCAGGGCUUGCUAAAUCCAGCAGACCCCUUUCCUGUCUUACUAGAUCUGGGCAGCAUUUGACAUGGCUGAUCACCCCUUGCUUCUUGGAUGGCACUUCCCUGGCACCUCUGUGGCUAGUUGUCCUACCUCCCUGGCUGUUCCUUUCAGGCUUCCGUGCAGGCUUCUCCACUUGCCCAUGCACAGUAGGGUCUUUCAGGGUUCUGCUGUGGGCUCCCUAGGGAAGCCCAUCCAUCUGGAUGGUUUCAAGGAUGGUGAGGAAUUUAGAGUUGACCUCCAGCCCCAACAUCCUUCCUGAUCACCUGAACCACAGUUUUGCUGCCCUCUAGGUGCACAGACAAUUCAGGUCCAUGGCCCAGAUGGUACUUGCUGUCUUCUGCAAACCUGCCCCUUCUGGGUACUUCCCUUGACCCCGAGAUCACUCAGGAGCCAGACAGGAAACUUAUUCUAUUCCUGUUUUCUCUUUCUGCCCACCACAUCCAAUCUCUCAAAACGGUCAGGUCUACCUUAACAUCUCUUGAUUUGAGCCACUCCCACUGUCAUCAGCUUUCACCUGGAUUAUCGUGACAGCCUCCUACUGCUUCUCUAUCAUGUGGCCAGAGCUAUCUUCCUAAAAUGCAUUGCAUAGUUGAUCAAGUCACUCUCUGGCCUAAAACCUUCCUUGGCUCCCUGCUGCCCUCAGGAUAAAGUCUGGACCCCUCAGCAUGGCUUGUGAGACUCAUGGUGUCCUUGUCCCUGCUCACCUCUCUGGUCUCAUCACUUGCCUUCUUGCAUUCUGGGUCCCAGCCUCCUGUAUCCAGAGAUGCAGUGGCUCUCCAUUGCCACUCUGAUUCCUCCUUUCUUUUGGUCACAGAGAAAGGGUACUUUCUCUGUCAAAUCUCAACUUAGACUUGACUUCCUCCAAGGAGCUUUGGCUAUACUCUCUCCUCCCGACCCCCACCCUGGCAUACUACACAGAUCACUCUGGGCUCACUUGCCUGCCUAAUGGUCAUCUCCCCAGUAGACUGUAAGCUCCUUGAGGGCAAGGAUUGUGUUGGAAUUUUUGUAUUAACAGUGCCUGGCUUGGUGCCUGGCACCUAGAAAGCACUCAAUAAAUGUUUGUUUAAUG